AAAUAAGCAAAGGUGGCGGAGUGGUCUAACGCGGUAGACUCAAGAUCUACUAUCUUUUGAUAUCGUGGGUUCGAAUCCCACCCUUUGCAUUC
rnacentral:tRNA from 1 species